GAAACCGUUGUGCUGUCAAAUCAUAUAUGGCGGCUGUUGGUCGCCUCAGCUUUACAUUUUUUUAUGUAAAUCGACGUUUAUACAGAGCAAGUAUUUUAUUUUCCAAUGAAAAUAGUUGAUAUAUAUUUAGUGAUAAAGUGUUGUUAAUUAGUUAUGUCCCAGAAAACAUCUUGAAUUAGGGGAAGCUAAUUAUUAUAGUUUAAAUUUUAUCGGUGUAAUAGAGAAGAGUUAUAUUUUUUUAAAUCGCCGAAUUAUUAUCCCUGGUACGGUGGUGCUUGUUUCUAUUGCCCUUUCGUCAAAAUAUGGCCGAUUCAGCAAGCGAAUCUGAUUCUAGCAGCAUCGACGGUGGCCCCAUUAUGAUGCCUCCAAGUCCGAUUACUAGAGAACAACUUCAAAAACGGAUUGAAAGUUUACAGCAGCAAAAUCGUGUCUUAAAGGUUGAGCUAGAAACUUAUAAAUUGCGCGUAAAGGCACUCCAAGAAGAAAACAAAAGUCUGCGACAAGCAUCAGUUAUAAUUCAAGCAAAAGCUGAACAAGAGGAGGAAUUUAUUUCAAACACCCUCCUAAAGAAAAUUCAAGCACUUAAAAAGGAAAAGGAGUCUUUAGCACAUCAUUAUGAGCGAGAAGAAGAAUGUCUUACAAAUGAUUUGUCAAGAAAAUUGACACAGUUGAGACAGGAAAAAUGCAAACUUGAGCAGACUUUAGAACAAGAACAGGAGUGCCUUGUUAAUCGUUUAAUGCGCAAAAUAGAAAAAUUAGAAGCUGAAACUUUAGCCAAACAAAGUAAUUUAGAGCAGUUACGAAGGGAAAAGGUAGAGUUAGAAAAUACACUGGAGCAAGAGCAGGAAGCGUUAGUGAACAAGUUGUGGAAACGAAUGGACAAGUUGGAGGCAGAGAAGAGAAUGCUUCAAAUCAAAUUGGAUCAGCCUGUGUCUGAUCCUGCUAGUCCUCGUGACAUUAGUAAUGGAGACACAGCCAGCAAUCUCAGUGCACAUAUUCAGACUUUAAGGAACGAAGUUAAUCGACUUCGUCAAACCCUCGCCAUUAGUCAACAAGAACACGCUCAAAAAAUGCAACGCUUUGCUCAGGAGGAACGUUGUAUUCGUGAGGAAAAUUUGAGGCUUCAAAGAAAACUUCAAUUGGAAGUGGAAAGGCGUGAGGCGCUGUGCCGUCACUUGUCUGAAAGCGAAAGUUCGCUAGAAAUGGAAGAGGAAAGGCAUUACAAUGAGCAGGUUUUGGGUGGUCGUGCUCAUGCCAUCUCGCCGAUUCCACCAAAUCCAUCGCCAAGUCAAAGUCGUCCUUUGAGUCCAGGCUUGUCAUUACAAGCACCGUCACCACGUGAAUCGCUGGUUGGCGUUCCAUCACGAUGUCACACCUGCGGUCAGGCUGUUAUCCAGACUACCAACGCGGGCGGUAGUCCCCCAGCACUAGGGCAACGUCGUACCAGCGAAAGAUUCAUAAAACCGGCCAUCCCAGCUCCACAACCCGCUAGCCCUAUGGACACUACCACUAACAAAGAUUAAAGUGUUUUUCUCUUCAUGUGAAGCAGCUGCGAGGAGCUUCUUUCCUGUUCAGCUCCCAUCCCUGCCGCCCGACACCCGGUCAGUCCCUACUACUUUCGUCGUUAAUGUUAUUGGGGAUAUAUUUUCUUUUUCGAUCUUCGCCGUUAAAUUUCAAAAUUGAAAUGUUUUAUUUUCAACUAAAAGAAAGAAGUUUUUCCAUUAGAUGAAUUUGCAUUUUAGCAUAUGUUUAAAUUCAAGAAAUGAGAUUUUUCAAUUAUUUAUUUGUCUCAAGAUAUAACGAAAAAUUUCAUUUUCAUUUAUAUAAUUUUGGGUGUAUUAUUUGAUGUGCAUGUUUAUUUUUAUUUUUUACUUAUAUGUUAAACAAAAAGGUCGUUAUUUAGAUGUUAGGUAUAUUUAUAUCAUUUUUGUAAUUACGUUUUUUUUAUAACUGAUUCACAGGAUUAGAUAUUUCGUAGAAUUUUUCACCUUUUUUUUUAAUUACUAUUUUAUUGAUUUGCACAUUCAAAUUUUAUCGUUUCUCCUUACGUUGUUUAAAUUUUACACAUUUACAUAUUUAAUUUAAAUAAAUAAUUUUUGUUAAAGUAAUACGGUCGCUAAUUUUGAUAUGUGCAACAGUUAAGUUUCGUUCGAUUAUUAAGCUUUAAACUAAUGCCUAAAGAUCUAAAAAUAAUUCGAAAAUUUUACAAUAGAAAACAGACUUCAAUAGAUCUGUUUCUUUAGUAUGAAACAGCCUCAAAAGUAAGUGAUAUUAGGUGUAACAUUCAGAUUAAAGUUAGAGAUCGGCUGUGUACGUCAUGCUGCGACUUUUCAUGUUGCAUCAUGAUAAGAAUCUGAUAGGAAGGAGUAUUGUUGAAAGUGUAGCUUUCGUCAUGCUGUAAUUUACUGAAUUCUUUAUGUGAAUUAAUGACCAUUUGUUAAAUUUGCAGGAUUUAUUGCAGAUUAUUUGUUUGUUCUAAGAAGUCAUGUUAUCCCAAUUAUUAUAAUAGUAUUUUGUAGACUUAAUUUUUUGUUUGUAUAUUUCGAAUUAAACAACGCUACACGUUUUCAAUUAAAAAUAUUGAACUACAAACCUUAGUUUUUGUUUAUCUACUACUGCGUAGCUUCUACCUAUGACUUUGUUUGUGUGAAUCAAUAAGAAAUACAAUUGUUAUAGCUGUGUAGUUUACAUCACUUUUAACAACCUCCUCUUCGUGUCUAUAAAGUGCAAUUGAAAUCGGUUCAUACAAAAAAAAAUUUAAAGGUCAUUUGUGACUUAACAGCCCAUAAUAAAUAAGCGUAUGGCAUAUGAGUUUAAAUGUAACGCUACCAAAUUUCCUGAAAAAUAUGUUUUGAUAAUCCCAUAUACAUGCUGUGAAAUUUAACUCACGGUCUUAACAUCCGACUGCUUUUUUUAUCAGAGAUUAAAACU
rnacentral:misc_RNA from 1 species